AAAGUGGUACGCGAGCUGGGUUCAGAACGUCGUGAGACAGUUCGGUCCCUAUCUGCCGUGGGCGUUGGAUGAUUGAAGGGAGUUGCUCCUAGUACGAGAGGACCGGAGUGAACGAACCUCUGGUGUUCGGGUUGUCACGCCAGUGGCACUGCCCGGUAGCUAAGUUCGGAAUCGAUAACCGCUGAAAGCAUCUAAGCGGGAAGCGAGCCCUGAGAUGAGUCAUCCCUGACCCCUUGAGGGUCCUAAAGGGCCGUUGGAGACCACAACGUUGAUAGGUGGGGUGUGUAAGUGCAGUGAUGUGUUGAGCUAACCCAUACUAAUUACCCGUGAGGCUUAACCAUACAACACCCAAGAAGUGUUCUG
rnacentral:rRNA from 1 species